rnacentral:rRNA from 1 species
AGUGAACGCUGGCGGUAGGCCUAACACACGCAAGUCGAACGGCAGCACAGUAAGAGCUUGCUCUUACGGGUGGCGAGUGGCGGACGGGUGAGGAAUACAUCGGAAUCUACUUUUUCGUGGGGGAUAACGUAGGGAAACUUACGCUAAUACCGCAUACGACCUACGGGUGAAAGCAGGGGAUCUUCGGACCUUGCGCGAUUGAAUGAGCCGAUGUCGGAUUAGCUAGUUGGCGGGGUAAAGGCCCACCAAGGCGACGAUCCGUAGCUGGUCUGAGAGGAUGAUCAGCCACACUGGAACUGAGACACGGUCCAGACUCCUACGGGAGGCAGCAGUGGGGAAUAUUGGACAAUGGGCGCAAGCCUGAUCCAGUCAUACCGCGUGGGUGAAGAAGGCCUUCGGGUUGUAAAGCCCUUUUGUUGGGAAAGAAAAGCAGCAGGUUAAUACCCCGCUGUUCUGACGGUACCCAAAGAAUAAGCACCGGCUAACUUCGUG